GUUUACGGGGCGAAGCCCCCCCCAGCCCC
rnacentral:tRNA from 1 species